CUUAUCCUCACGUACGUAGCUCCUGGAAUUCUCAAGAAGCCACCGUAGGUCUCUGGUGCCUAUCUCACAUCGUGCUUGACUCCCCACGUUCGAACCCCAUGACCAGCGCAGCUCGGCCAGGGCGCUGGAUCCCGCUGGCCAUGGCGCUCAUCCCUCCCUGCUGUUAGAUGCACAGAACGUCUCUAGCUCUCCAUAGAUGGCAGCCAGCUGCGCCCUCACCUCCUCCCAUGGUGACCUCGCCCAUGGCGGCUCCCCCUGCUCGGCGUACUCCCCUCUGCAGGAGCUCGCCCAGCCCCUCUCUGCUGGUGACCGAGCCAUCUCCCUGGACACACCCCUUCCCUUGCUACUUCCUAUGGUUGCCCUAGCCGACCUCUCCCAUGGCGUAGGAAACAGCAGCACCUCCCUCCAUGGACGUCCUAGGUCCUCGCCAUACUCUCCGUCGACCUCGUCAUCACCACGGCCACAACCUCUCUUCCGUCGUUGUGGAGACCCCGUCAGCCUCGCGUGCUGUCCGAUCCUUGCGUCGCGCCCAGGGAGGUUACAUGGAAGAAGAAGAAAAGCCCAGAGCGAUGCUCCCCAUGUGCUCGACGAAAAGCCAGAACGGGAGAUCAUCUGUUUUUUUUGUGGAAUUCGCGUCGAAUUUAUUAACGAAAUAUUAGGAUGUUUGGGUGAAGAAGAAGGUUACGCCCCCUGUUCCUCCUUUCCAUGGUUCCCCACGGCAGCGGCAGGAAACAUCCCCACACCAGACGCCGAGAUCCAUGCCAGUGGCUCGAUCUUCCUCAACGUUGGCUGCCUCUCCGACCUCGCUGUGGACCUGCUGCUCACCGCCGCGUGUGCACUUUUUCCUCCGAGCAGCAGCCCCGGAUCUGCGCAGCCCCGGCCUUAUUAUCGACCUCAGACAAGAGCUGGAUUAAUCACAAGACGAUGUUGAUGGACGAAGCUAAAGUGGACGGAUCAACCAAGUGCCAGAAUGGGAGAUACUCACCAAGUGAUUAUCAUUUAACAACACUAACGUAGUGUUAUCCCAGGGUUUUAUUCCCUGUUGUUUUCAGGUUAUAAUUUUGUUCUGUUGUGGAUGGUGCUAAGUGUCGGUGGGCUCGGCCUUCUUAUAUAAAAAUAUGCAAAUACAAUGAGUGGUACAUGGUGGCUAGCAACAAAUACAAACUCGAGGAAUUCACAUUUGUUGUGCCAGAAGAUGCAUUUUGGAGCAAUGAUCAUAUAAAUCCUGUGCGGCAUUUAUUCUUUGACGAUCUCUGGUCGUUGUACCACCGACAAAGGAUGGAAACCAACUACUUAACCCUCUUUUGCUUGAUGCAAUACAUGGAUGAUAAGAAGAAACAACUUAAGACAGGGUUUCUUGACCCGUUGUUGAUAUCUCAAGCUCGCUACAAAGUAGUUGCUCGGAGGCAAGGAGAAGAAUACAAAGACUUGGACGAUGCUGAAUUUGAGAAAGCCGUCAAACAGAAUCAGAGAAAGAAAAUGAAGGUAAUGGCGGCAUACAUUGGACGAGCCAUGUAUAAUCAUGUACAACAUGGCAAGGACUUAAUAAUAGCUCCGCACCACUUUAA
rnacentral:misc_RNA from 1 species